GGAAGAGAUCGUUCCCCGGUGGGGCGACCGGUCUUCAAAACCGGUAGGGCUUGUCAGACAAGCCUUGGUAGGUUCGACUCCUGCUCUCUUCCGCCA
rnacentral:tRNA from 1 species